CUACGGGUGGCACCAGUGGGGAAUAUUGCGCAAUGGAGGCAACUCUGACGCAGCCAUGCCGCGUGCAGGAAGAAGGCCUUAUGGGUCGUAAACUGCUUUUAUUUAGGAAUAAACCCCCGAACGUGUUCGGGGCUGAAGGUACUAAACGAAUAAGCACCGGCUAACUCCGUGCCAGCAGCCGCGGUAAUACGGAGGGUGCAAGCGUUAUCCGGAUUUAUUGGGUUUAAAGGGUGCGCAGGCGGGCUAUUAAGUCAGUGGUGAAAUCCCGGGGCUCAACUCCGGAACUGCCAUUGAUACUGAUAGUCUUGAGUUUGGUUGAAGUGGGCGGAAUGUAGCAUGUAGCGGUGAAAUGCAUAGAUAUGCUACAGAACACCAAUCGCGAAGGCAGCUCACUAAGCCAAAACUGACGCUCAUGCACGAAAGCGUGGGGAUCAAACAGGAUUAGAUACCCCCGUAGUC
rnacentral:rRNA from 1 species